rnacentral:lncRNA from 1 species
AGAAAGAAAGUGUUCUAUCAGAGAGACUUAGGGGUUAGUGUUGCCAAGGAAAGAGGGGACCUCAAUUGAGAAAAUGCUUCCAAGGAGAUACAGUUUUAAGGAAUUUUCUUAAUUAGUGAUUGCUAGGGAAGGGCUCAGCCCAUUGUGGUUGGUACCAUCGCUGGGCUGGUGGUUCUGAGUUCUAUAAGAAAGAAGUGUACCAAGCCAGGAGGAGCAAGCCAGUAAGCAGCAUCCCUCCAUGGCCUCUGUAUCAACCCCGCUGGAGUUCCUGUCCUGGCUUCCUUCAAUGACUGCCUGACCAUAGCUGAGCUGAUAUCUGAUCGUUAUAUUCUGCUCAGGAGAAGAGGGCAUCAGAUACUACAACCUGGCCAUUAGUCCCGUGCCCCCCCCCCCCCGUCCCCCCAUGCCUGCUUUCUCUCCCUGGACCCCACUUUUCUGUCUCCUCCUCUGCACAGCAUCUCAAUGAAUUAGCCUGAGAGCUGUACCCAAUAAACCUGCCUUUAUAUACUUU